rnacentral:rRNA from 1 species
CAGUAGCCACGGUAAUACGAAGGGGGCUAGCGUUGUUCGGAUUUACUGGGCGUAAAGCGCACGUAGGCGGAUCGAUCAGUCAGGGGUGAAAUCCCGGAGCUCAACUCUGGAACUGCCUUUGAUACUGUCGAUCUGGAGUAUGGAAGAGGUGAGUGGAAUUCCGAGUGUAGAGGUGAAAUUCGUAGAUAUUGGAAGGAACACCUGUGGCGAAAGCGGCUCACUGGACCAUUUCUGACGCUGAUGCACGAAAGCUAGGGGAGCAAACAGGAUUAGAGACCCCGGUAGUCCCUGUCUCUUAUAA